rnacentral:rRNA from 1 species
GAUGAACGCUGGCGGCGUGCCUAAUACAUGCAAGUCGAGCGAACAGACGAGGAGCUUGCUCUUCUGACGUUAGCGGCGGACGGGUGAGUAACACGUGGAUAACCUACCUAUAAGACUGGGAUAACUUCGGGAAACCGGAGCUAAUACCGGAUAAUAUAUUGAACCGCAUGGUUCAAUAGUGAAAGACGGUUUUGCUGUCACUUAUAGAUGGAUCCGCGCUGCAUUAGCUAGUUGGUAAGGUAACGGCUUACCAAGGCAACGAUGCAUAGCCGAACUGAGAGGGUGAUCGCCACAAUGGAAACUGAGACAGGGCCCGGACUCCUACGGGGGGCAGCAGAGGGAAAUCUUCGGAAAGGGGCGAAAGCUGAAGGAGGCAACGCCGGGUGGGUGAGAAAGUGCUUCGGACCGUAAAACUCGUUUAUUGGGAAAAAACAAUUUGGUAAGUACUAUGCACAUCUUGACGGUACCUAAUCAGAAAGCCACGGCUAACUACGUG